ACAAGCGAGCCCUGUUCAUCAUCUGCACCUCGGAGCUGGGACCCCAAAUCUACGAGCUGGUGGCGCUGACGAACUCGGAGAGGAACACGUGAGCCAAAAUCCCGGGAAAAAAACCCGGGAAGGGCCGGAAAAAAACUGGGAAUGAGCCAGAAAAUUCCUGGGAAUGAGCCGGAAAAAACCCGGGAAUGAGCCGGAAAAAACCCGGGAAGGGCCGGAAAGAAACCGGGAAGGGCUGGAAAAUUCCUGGGGGAGCAAAAAUCCUUGGGAUGAGCCCAAAAAUCCCCGGGAAGGGCUGGAAAAUUCCCGGGAAGGGCUGGAAAAUUCUUGGGAAGGGCUGGAAAAUUCCUGGGAAAGGCUGGAAAAUUCCUGGGAAAGGCUGGAAAAUCCUUGGGGGACAAAAUCCCCAGGAAAGGCUGGAAAAUCCCUGGGAAGGGCUGGAAAAUUCCUGGGGGAGCAAAAAUCCUUGGGAUGAGCCCAAAAAUUCGCUGGGAAAGGCUGGAAAAUCCCCGGGAAAGGCUGGAAAAUUCCUGGGAAGGGCUGGAAAAUUCCUGGGAAGGGCUGGAAAAUCCCCAGGGAAGGCUGGAAAAUUCCCUGGGAAGGGCCGGAAUUCUCGUCUGGAAUUCUUGGGCUGGAGUUCCUGGCUGGAAUUUCCAGGCCAGAAUUCCCGCUGGGAAUCGUUCCCGUUGGGAAUUCGGGAUUAUUCCAGUUGGGAAUUCGGGAUUGUUCCCAUUGGGAAUUUGGGAUUAUUCCAGUUGGGAAUUCGGGAUUGUUCCCAUUGGGAAUUUGGAAUUGUUCCCGUUGGGAAUUCAGGAUUAUUCCCAUUGGGAAUUUGGGAUUAUUCCCGUUGGGAAUUUGGGAUUAUUCCCGUUGGGAAUUCGGGAUUGUUCCCAUUGGGAAUUUGGAAUUGUUCCCGUUGGGAAUUCAGGAUUAUUCCCAUUGGGAAUUUGGGAUUAUUCCCGUUGGGAUUUGGGAUUGUUCCCGUUGGGAAUUCAGGAUUAUUCCCAUUGGGAAUUUGGAAUUAUUCCCAUUGGGAAUUAUUCCCAUUAUUCCCGUUUGGAUUCACAGGUGGCUGGAGCUGCUGGAGCUCCCGUUGGGGAUUGUUCCCGUUGGGAAUUCGGGAUUAUUCCCAUUGAGAAUUGU
rnacentral:lncRNA from 1 species